rnacentral:rRNA from 7 species
GGGUUGUGAGGUUAAGCGACUAAGCGUACACGGUGGAUGCCCUGGCAGUCAGAGGCGAUGAAGGGCGUGCUAAUCUGCGAUAAGCGCCGGUAAGGUGAUAUGAACCGUUAUAACCGGCGAUACCCGAAUGGGGAAACCCAGUGUGACUCGUCACACUAUCAUUAACUGAAUCCAUAGGUUAAUGAGGCGAACCGGGGGAACUGAAACAUCUAAGUACCCCGAGG